AAUAUUGCACAAUGGAGGAAACCCUGAUGCAUCAACGCCGCGUGAGCGAUGAAGGCGUUCGGGUCGUAAAGCACUGUCCUCAGGGAAGAUAAUGACGGUACCUUAGGCGGAAGCCCCGUCUAUCUACGUGCCAGCAGCCGCGGUAAUACGUAGGGGGCAAGCGUUAUCCGGAAUCAUUGGGCGUAAAGGGUGCGUAGUCGGCCCUAUGGGGAAGAGGUUAAAGGCUACGGCUCAACCGUAGUAAGCCUUUGAAACUGUAGGGCUUGAGUGCAGGAGAGGAGAGUGGAAUUCCUAGUGUAGCGGUGAAAUGCGUAGAUAUUAGGAGGAACACCAGUGGCGAAGGCGACUCUCUGGACUGCAACUGACGCUGAGGCACGAAAGCGUGGGUAGCGAAC
rnacentral:rRNA from 1 species